UACCAGCCCGAGGAGGCGCCGCGCCUACUGCCCGAUAUAACCAACUCCGGAGUGGGGGCGCGGAACUGCCAGGCGGCGGCGGCCAAAGUGCCCUUAAAGCUCGGGGCGGAAGGGAUGAGUUACCUGGGUCCCCUCUUCAGGGAGAAGCAGGGCAAGCCGGAGGAUUCCCUCUGAAUGAUUAAAAACUCCGCAGUUCUCUCCUGCCACAGGCUGAGUGGACGCAGGGAACUGCUCCAUCUGAACUGUGCUAACGGGCAGGAGGAUGGCAGACAGGACUUGAGAGGCACAGAGGAAGGACAGGGGAGUCUGGCAUCUCAUUGCGAUCUGUUUGAAGAAAUGAGAUGGAUUCUUAAAGACUUUUUUCAUCACAUCUUCACUAUGAAGAACUAAUCAGAUUACAUAAUGAAGUGAAAUGUUUGCAGAUAGUCAAAUGACGGUUUUGGCCAAUGAGAUAAAAGCAGAAGUAACUAGCUGAUGCUUGUAGAGGCCUUCGAAAUGAAACAUACGGAGAUGACUUGUCCCUUGGACCUUUGUAAUUAUGGUUGCUGCCCAACUGUGAAUGUGGAGAGUCAUGUAACAUUUUACAAAUGGAAGAACACAACUCUAAAAUGAGAACAACUUCUUAAUGUCAUCAUGGAACUAUCUUAACAACACUGGACUGAUACAUUCCAGUAUUUUUAUGUGAGAAAAAUAAAAUCAUAAUUCAGUUAA